CAAUUUAUACAUGAACAAAAUAUACCUUUUCUGGUUAAUUUUGGAAAAAGUAGCAUAGAAGAUAAUAUUGGGUUUUUUAAUAGACUAUGCUUCAUUUCUUAUCACAGUUUCCUCACUGGAUACCCAGGUCUUUGGACUGACACUCCUUUCUGAAAGACUUCCAUAAGAGUAUCCACUAGUUUGCUGUGGGAGCCAAACACUGUCAGAUGACUAGUACCAUAACUUUUCCCCAGGGGACUUAAGUUAUUCUUCUGACUUAGUCUUUGUUUCUAGCUCACCAUGUAGAGCAUAUCCAGAAAAGGUUGACUUUUUUUGGGCUGACCCAAGUCAUGUACCUGACCUCACAGGGACCCUGUGGUAUGACAGCACAGUAGGCCAGUGAGAAAGCCACUGCAGGCCCUUGCAGGUUUGGAAUGUAGAAGUUGCAGACACAUAGAGAGAGCUUGCUGGGCCCUGGGAAAGGGCCAUCUGAUGCUCAGUGGGGAUCUCUGAAUCAGGAGAUGUCAGCAUGCCCAAGAAAGAUGAGCAGCUGUCCCCACACUCUUCACUCUGCUCUUGUUUAAAAGGAAAGAUUGAAUUAAGUGAAGUUCUUCCAUGCUGCCUCUAAUUUUCCUUGAAAAAGCCUGGUGAUCUUAUUUAAUGAAUGAGGACACAUUGCAGCUCUGGUCUGGAACAGGACCCAUCACUGACAGUGAUCAAGGUCACGUUCGACGGGGAUUUGAGCAACGUGGUCUAGUGACAGAUCUCUCUGCCUAUGGCAGGUGGGUUGGACUGCAUGAUCUUUUAAGGCCCUUUUCAAACCAAAGUAUUUUAUGAUCCUAUCAUUAUGCUUUGAAGCAUUUUUUUUUAAAAUUCAGCCUAGAAGUAAAUACCUAUUUUGUCCACCAUUGUUCUGGAUAUAAUAAAAUACUGAAAGCACUGA
rnacentral:lncRNA from 1 species